rnacentral:rRNA from 1 species
UACGUAGGGGGCAAGCGUUGUCCGGAAUUAUUGGGCGUAAAGCGCGUGUAGGCGGCCAGAUAAGUCCGCUGUGAAAUCUCGAGGCUCAACUUCGAGCUGUCGGUGGAAACUGUCUGGCUAGAGUCCGGAAGAGGAGUGUGGAAUUCCUGGUGUAGCGGUGAAAUGCGCAGAUAUCAGGAAGAACACCUAUGGCGAAGGCAGCACUCUGGGACGGUACUGACGCUGAGACGCGAAAGCGUGGGGAGCGAACAGG